UCUACGGGUGGCAGCAGUGGGGAAUAUUGGACAAUGGGCGAAAGCCUGAUCCAGCCAUGCCGCGUGUGUGAAGAAGGCCUUCGGGUUGUAAAGCACUUUCAGUGGGGAAGAAAGCCUUGGGGCUAAUACCCUCGAGGAAGGACAUCACCCACAGAAGAAGCACCGGCUAACUCCGUGCCAGCAGCCGCGGUAAUACGGAGGGUGCGAGCGUUAAUCGGAAUUACUGGGCGUAAAGCGCGCGUAGGCGGUCUGAUAAGCCGGUUGUGAAAGCCCCGGGCUCAACCUGGGAACGGCAUCCGGAACUGGCAGGCUAGAGUGCAGGAGAGGAAGGUAGAAUUCCCGGUGUAGCGGUGAAAUGCGUAGAGAUCGGGAGGAAUACCAGUGGCGAAGGCGGCCUUCUGGACUGACACUGACGCUGAGGUGCGAAAGCGUGGGUAGCAAACAGGAUUAGAUACCCGAGUAGUC
rnacentral:rRNA from 1 species